rnacentral:rRNA from 1 species
UGAACGCUGGCGGCGUGCCUAACACAUGCAAGUCGAGCGAGAAACCUCUUGAAGAUACUCGGUUGAUCUGUGAGGCGGAAAGUGGCGGACGGGUGAGUAACGCGUGGGUAACCUGCCUUACACAGGGGGAUAACAGUUAGAAAUGACUGCUAAUACCGCAUAAGCGCACAGAAUCGCAUGAUUCAGUGUGAAAAGAUUUAUCGGUGUAAGAUGGACCCGCGUCUGAUUAGCUAGUUGGUGAGGUAACGGCCCACCCAAGGCGACGAUCAGUAGCCGGCCUGAGAGGGUGAACGGCCACAUUGGGACUGAGACACGGCCCAAACUCCUACGGGAGGCAGCAGUAGGGAAUAUUGGACAAUGGGGGAAACCCUGAUCCCAGCGACGCCGCGUGAGUGAAGAAGUAUUUCGGUACGUAAAGCUCUAUCAGCAGGGAAGAAAAUGACGGUACCUGACUAAGAAGCACCGGCUAAAUACGUGCCAGCCGCCGC